CAUAGCGACUAUCGUGGCAUAUCAAUAAGCGGAGGAAAAGAAACUAACAAGGAUUCCCUUAGUAACGGCGAGUGAAGCGGGAAGAGCUCAAAUUUGAAAUCUUCAAGGUUUUACCUUGACGAAUUGUAGUUUAUAGAAGUGUUUUCUGUUAGUAGAGUUUGGUAAAAGUUCUUUGGAAUAGGACAUCAUAGAGGGUGAGAAUCCCGUAUUUGACCAGUUACUUUCCAAGCUGUGUGAUACACUUUCAAAGAGUCGGAUUGUUUGGGAAUGCAGUCCAAGAUGGGUGGUAAAUUUCAUCUAAAGCUAAAUAUUGGCGAGAGACCGAUAGCGAACAAGUACCGUGAGGGAAAGAUGAAAAGAACUUUGAAAAGAGAGUUAAACAGUACGUGAAAUUGUCAAAAGGGAAGCGUUUGACACCAGUGUUGUUUAGUUGAAAAUCAAUUCAAUAAUUUUUGAUUUUGAGUAGUAUUGACUUCAUCAGCUUGCUGCUUUCUUUUCGGAAAUUAUUGAAUGCACUUUUCAGUUAACAAGUCAACAUCAAUUUCUUUUGUUGUAAAAGGGUAAGAGGAAGGUGGCUUACGCUUCGGCGUAAGUGUUUAUAGCCUUUUACCUCUGCAAUCGGAGAGAUUGAGGACAGCAGCGUAGACUCUUCGGGGUUAGAUACACUUGUGCUAAGCUAUAGCCUUGUAUAGACAACUUGUUGACUAUGCUCAGUCAUGUAGCUUACUCGCUUGUGCUAUUUUACCUACGCUUAGGAUGUUGAUAUGCAUGACUGAUAU
rnacentral:rRNA from 1 species